UGGCGAACGGGUGAGUAACGCGUGAGGAACCUGCCUCAAAGAGGGGGACAACAGUUGGAAACGACUGCUAAUACCGCAUAAGCCCACGACCCGGCAUCGGGAAGAGGGAAAAGGAGCAAUCCGCUUUGAGAUGGCCUCGUGUCCGAUUAGCUAGUUGGUGAGGUAACGGCCCACCAAGGCGACGAUCGGUAGCCGGACUGAGAGGUUGAACGGCCACAUUGGGACUGAGACACGGCCCAG
rnacentral:rRNA from 1 species